CUGGUGCGGGCGGGGACGGGGCUCCAGGAGAUGCCGGGACCCGGCAGGGUGGGUGGGGGGAGACAAAGCCCAGCCCGCGUCUGGCGCCAGACCCGUAGGUGAGGUGGCCAGUGAAGGGGGAGGUGCAGCCCGGACCGCCGGGCGCCGAAAUGGGGGGUGUGCGGGCCUUUGGGGAGCGUGGCGUCCUGCCCCGCUAGCGGAAGGAUCUGGAAUCUGCCCGGGGCCUGGGUCGCUCGGCGCUGGCUAUGGCUGGGUCACUGAGCGUUACCUUCCCCGGCUGUCGGUGGCUUCCUCAUCCCCACUCUACAGAGGCGGAAACUGAGGCUCCUGCCUCCCAGCACCGAGUCGUGGUUGUGGAUGGCACAGCCCGGGAGGGCAUCCGAGGCCUGGGGUGCGGGGACCGUAGCAGGCAGAGUUGGGAUGGUCCUGCCUCCCCAGCCUGAGGCCGGUGGGGCUCCAGGGGGGCACCGGGCUGGGGGCCGGGAGACCCCAGGGGCUCAGAAAAGAAGAGCUGCCACUGAGAGGUGGGGGAGCACCUGCGGCUUGCCCGCGGCCCUCACGGCCUCAGCUUCCUCGUCUGUAUAAUGGGGGCGAUAAGCCGCUGGUUCUGCGGCCGAAUCGGGCACUCGGUCCCCAUGGGCGCCGCCCACCGUGGGCACGUGACCCACCUCCCCCACUUGCAGGGACGUCCCCACGGCUCAGCUGGCCCGGUCCCCCCGGGUCCCUCUGUGUAAUGAUGACUUACGAACGUGCUCCCCGUACGGCAUCCGGAUCCCUGCCGGGUCCCCUAAGGCCUUUACCCCCUUUACCCCCUUCACGCCUCUUGGAAGCUCUGGCUGGACUGUAGGGCCCUCGUGCGCGUCCCACCGAGGCCAAAAGGGAGCCGGGGCGCCGAGCACCUGCGCCCAGACCCACACGGUUCCUGGCUCUGCCAUCUCACGACAAGGGGACAAGGCAGUGGGGCAGGAAUGCGUCCAGGAAUAGAAAAGAAAGUCGACACCCCAGCGUGGGCGCUGGGGCUCCAGGGGCCAUUCCUGGGACAGUCCUGAGGAAAUCGGGGCCACACUACCCUCAUGGCACCCCUGUGUCCCACCCCAGGUCUGGGAGGGCAGAGGAAAAGGGAGUUUUGAACCACGCCCCAGAGGGCUCGGUCCUGGGGGGCGGCUCCACCCUUCCCUCCUGGAACCCUGCGGAAUGGACCCUCUGGCCACAUGGGGGCUGCAGGGUGGGCAGGCAGCCCCGGGGGCCACCAAGGAGGCAGGGCCCUCAGGCCUUCCAGAACGAUCUCAUUUGCUCAGCCCAGGAGUUUAAUAAGAUGAUCGUACCGGCCCACGGGGGAGGCAGCCCGGGCCAAGAGGAAGGGGGCAUUUCACGCCUUGUCCACACACCGCGGGGUUCACAGCUGGACCCGGGUAACCUGGGGCGCUCAGCCUCCUGACUGAGAUCAAUCCUUACACAACCACACAGUAUGGAACCCUGCCUUGUUGAGCCCAAGACCCGCCGGGGGCUGAUGGCAAAGAAGUGACCAUCGACUCUAAUUUCCACCCGGAAAUUCCCGGAAACGCUGACCUUAUUCACCCCGAUCACAACCUUGUGCUGAGGAAACCAAAGCGGUUUGUCUGGAGUCAGAUCUGCUCCUUCCUGGCUGUGCGUCCUUGGGCAAGCUGCCUAACCUCUCUGAACCUGGUUCCUCGUCUGCCCAUAAGGCACGCCCGGGCUGCCUGCGAAGGCGAGUAAAGCAGACACCCGCCAUCGGAGAGGAUGCUUCUCCAACGGUGGCGCCUGGGCCAGUGGCGGCCAGCUCGCCGGGCUGUUUGCCAGGAAUGCAGAAUCUCAGGCCCCACCAGAGACCAGCUGAAUCUUGUCUUUCAACAGUCUCCCCAGGAUGACUGGUGGGCACGGUUUUUCUGCUCGGAGAAGCCUGAGAAAUGUUGGGAAACACAAAGAGAAGCAGGCUUCCUUACUCCAGCACUCGUCCAAGUGAAUCAAGGAGCCACUGAUAACAGAAAUGGCUUCCUCAGGGAAAG